rnacentral:misc_RNA from 1 species
GAAAUGCGAUACGUAAUGGAAAUUGCAUAUGUGAGUCAUCGAGUUUUUGAACGCACAUUGCGCCCAGUGGCAUUCCGCUGGGCAUGUGGGACUGAGCGUUUUUUCAAAUAAACCCUUUUGUUGUGUUUCACGUCGAUUCACUAAUCACAUGGUAACGCGUGUUGUUUUUAUCAAAAAACGCGUCUUUCAAAACCGUACAUUUGAAACCUCAGCCUCACAGGAAUACCCGCUGAACUUAA